AUUGAACGCUGGCGGCAUGCUUUACACAUGCAAGUCGAACGGUAACAGGCCGCAAGGUGCUGACGAGUGGCGAACGGGUGAGUAAUGCAUCGGAACGUGCCCAGUCGUGGGGGAUAACGCAGCGAAAGCUGUGCUAAUACCGCAUACGAACUAUGGAUGAAAGCGGGGGACCGUAAGGCCUCGCGCGAUUGGAGCGGACGAUGUCAGAUUAGGUAGGUGGUGGGGUAAAGGCCUACCAAGCCGACGAUCCGUAGCUGGUCUGAGCGGACGACCAGCCACACUGGGACUGAGCCACGGCCCAGACUCCUACGGGAGGCAGCAGUGGGGAAUUUUGGACAAUGGGCGCAAGCCUGAUCCAGCAAUGCCGCGUGCAGGAAGAAGGCCUUCGGGUUGUAAACUGCUUUUGUACGGAACGAAACGGCCUGGGUUAAUACCCUGGGCUAAUGACGGUACCGUAAGAAUAAGCACCGGCUAACUACGUGCCAGCCGCCGCCGUAAUAC
rnacentral:rRNA from 1 species